UGGGGGUAGCAGCGAGCAGCAGGGUCAAACAGUACUUCAUAUGUCUUUGAAAUCACAUGUGGGUGAGUUUGCAAGCCCUCAGCUGGCAGCUGUUCUUUCCCUUCCAAACUGCAGUGCCGUGUAGCACCCCUCCCUGCUCCCUAACCCUGCUUUCCUCUUCUCACACCCUCCGUUUCCCUCACCAGAUCUUAAUUUUGCACUCAGAGGCUUCCCAAACCUCUCCCAACCCACACUGUGCAAUAGCUGCUCUUGGCUUAUGGUGUGCCUGUACCAACACUGCUGUGGGGCUGGGCUGGCUCCUGGCUUGGGCACUGCACCUUGGUGUGAUGGGGAGAGAGAGGAGCUCCCUGCAGGAGGCUGGGGUGAAAAAAUCUCUAUGUGACAGACCUCUACUUGACAUUCCCCCAAUCCCCGCUCAGAAAGCAACUUAAACUCCGAACUCUGAGGUUUAAUAUCACUGCAGAAGUGUCUCAUCUUCAGCAGUUCCACCUCUGAGCAUCUCAGGGCCAGGCCAUCUCCCUUCUCUGCCUCGCUCAGUUCACGGCACCCUGUGCAAUGAGUUCCCACAUGGCCCUGCCUGCACCCGGGGCUCUUUUCCAGCUGAUGUACGACCAUUGCAGUGCUGGCACUUUGCUGCCUGGGCUUUUUUUUCCCCCUUUUCUUUUCUUUUCUUUUUCUUUUUUCUUUUUUUUUCCUGGGCACUCAGUAAAGCAUGUGUAGUGAACAGCCUCUAGAUCUCUCCCAUUUUUCUGCUUGAAAUCUCCUCGGGGUCUACUUAGUUCUGCUGCUUUUUACAGGUGCGGAAACAAACUCUUUGCUGAUGCCAAAUCUGCAGCGCCACGUGGGGCCGGAUCCUGCCUGGAUGCGACCGAAAGCACUCAGGACCCCACAUCUGCAGCUGUGCUGCAGCUUAACCGGGACCCACAAGUGUCCUCAGUUAGAGCUAAUGAGGGGGGUAAGGCCCAGAAGGGGGAGGCAUUAAAAGCAGAAAUAACAGCGUUCAAAAGGAGUGUGAAGUGGAUGGUGCGGCUGCUGCUCGUGUCCUGACUCAGCCCGGGAUGGCUGCGGUGUGUGUGCGGGGGGCCCGGAGCGGAGCGGAGGACCUCAGGGGCAGUUCUGCGCCCACGUGUGGCUUUCCUACCCUGAGAGGCACCCUUGAAGAUGAGCAGAUGCUUAUGGACAAACCACCCAGGAAAUGGGGUCUGGAAGAGCCAGCAGAACCCACGAGUGUAUCCAGCCCUACGUGCCAUGAGGGAUCUUGCGCCACGAUGGGCCCAGUACAGAACAACCAGCACUUCAGCUCUGCUGGAACAAAGCGGAGUGGAUGUAAAUCAGCUCUUCUCGCUUUGCUGCAGCCGCCCGCCCUCGGUUCUGCCUUGUGCCAUGCCCUCUGUCGGGGCUGAAGCCUGCUCUGUGUUGGCACACAUCGUGCCAGUGGAACCAGGUGAGCGAUCCUGUUGGGCGAAGGCACUGAGGAUAAAAGGGCAGAGAUGAGAUGGGGAAAAUGAGGCUAUCACAAUAGCUCAGCCAUUGUACAGCUGUAUGGCCCAUGAAGCCCUGCACCUGUGGAGGGCUGGAGCUGCCCUGCUCGCUGCUGCCAGCCUGGCCCCAUGCCGUGCUCGCCUUCGGGAUGUUCCUGUGUGGCAUUGCCAUGUAGGAGAGGCAGAGGGGCAGGGUGGGAAGGUGGCUGCCAUCCUCUCCCUGGAAACUAUUGAACAUAGGAGGUUUCUGCUAUGGCUUUGAUGAGAUGAAUCCUGGCUUUUCUAUGCUAGCUCUCCAACUCCAUUCCUGUUUUCAUGACUUCUUUUUCUUGAAAGAAAUGCUACUGGGGGACAAGGCUGCUUGUCACUCCACCAGUAGCUGUAUUUCUUCUCUCCAUCCUACUGUACAUCCUCAAGGGGGCUUUCCCUGUCCACCACCAUGCUCAGAGCUGUUGACAGCUGCUUGCUGAGAAUGGACACGUGGGGCAGGAUGGGUACAGGUUAGUAGGGAAGGACUGGUGCCAGCAGGCUGGGGGAAGCCCAAACACACAGUAAUGGUCGUGUUGCCAUUCCUUGCCUCUCCAGAGGCUGUGGGCUGUGUGCCCAAGGCAAAGCAAUGGGGGACAACCAGGGGAUGGAGGUGGGAAAUGGCCCUUACAAGGCUCAGAUGAAGUGAGAAUGUUGCUUUUGUGACAUUAACACAAGUGCUGUACUCCGUAGAUGACAGAUACUUAGGGGCCUGAGCCCUCUCCCCGGUCCCUCCUGACUCACAGAGGGACACGUGGUGACGUAUCACCAUUCCUGACCUCGAUCCUGUUUGUGGAGUGGUGGUGGGGAAGUCUAAAGGCAUGUCCUGGGUUUAACUGGGGUGUCUCUGAAAGCUGAGAGCAGGGGAGAGACAUCUGAGCUGGGCAGAGGGACAGCAGAUGGAUUGGAAGGAGCAUAACCUCAUGGAAAUGCAUGCUCCAGUCCCUGCAGCUGGCAUUAAGGGUCAAUUAUUUUCAGUGUAACAACUCAUUUCUAAAUGGAAAGAGAACGACCUGCUGACACCGAUAGGACCUGCUGAUGUCCAUCUCCCGGCCAUGGCAGAAGACAACAGUACAAGCCUUGAGCAGCUCACCUCCGUUGCCCUGUGCUACCCCAUGCCUGGUCUGUUGGGGAAAAACAGCCAGCACAUCCCAAGCGUCACUUCUAUGGUCCCUCCCUGUUGUCUUUGGGGGGGCUGUGGGAUCUGCCAAAAGGAUGCAGUACUCAAACCACAAAGUGCCUGCUUUCCUUCCAGUGUGGGCAGAAACUCCGCGAUAGCCAACAAGGAUCCUGGAGUCUCAUGCCUUCCCCAUCAUUGCUCUGGUUGUGCUCCCGUGAGCUCAAGACCCGUCUCACAUCACGUACAUCUCAGCUGGAAAGAGGAAUUAAAGAUCUUGCAGUAAAUAAAGAUGAAAACCCAAACAGCAUGCGUGGCGCUGUGUUCAAAGCA